UACGUAGGGUGCGAGCGUUAAUCGGAAUUACUGGGUUUAAAGGGUCCGUAGGCGGUUUGGUAAGUCAGUGGUGAAAGCCCAUCGCUCAACGGUGGAACGGCCAUUGAUACUGCUAGACUUGAAUUAUUAGGAAGUAACUAGAAUAUGUAGUGUAGCGGUGAAAUGCUUAGAGAUUACAUGGAAUACCAAUUGCGAAGGCAGGUUACUACUAAUUGAUUGACGCUGAUGGACGAAAGCGUGGGUAGCGAACAGG
rnacentral:rRNA from 1 species